CGGGGCCCGACCUCCACCCUAUGUCUACAUUACUUUGUUGCCUCGGCGGGCCCCCUCCUAAUGUUCACACGGGCUUUCGCCGUCGGUCCUCGGACCCUCUAGUGCCCGCCGAUGGACUAUAUUGAACCCCUUUGAAUCAGCCAUCUGAGUGAUUAUUAUAAUACUUCAAAACUUUCAACAACGGAUCUCUUGGUUCUCGCAUCGAUGAAGAACGCAGCGAAAUGCGAUAAGUAUUGUGAAUUGCAGAAUUCAGUGAAUCAUCGAAUCUUUGAACGCACAUUGCGCCCCCUGGUAUUCCGGGGGGCAUGCCUGUUCGAGCGUCAUUACAGACCAUCAAGCUUACGCUUGGCAUUGGGUCUUCGUCCCUGCUGUGGACGGACCCUGAAGACCUUGGCGACGGCGCGGAGCCUCAAGCGUAGUAGAACUCUAUCCCGCUUACGGAGGCCCCGCGAAGUCCGCUUCUAGACCCAACACAACCUCAAGGUUGACCUCGGAUCAGGUAGGGAUACCCGCUGAACUUAAGCAUAUCAAUA
rnacentral:rRNA from 1 species